UACAGGGGGGGCAAGCGUUGUUCGGAAUUACUGGGCGUAAAGGGCUCGUAGGCGGCCAACUAAGUCCGACGUGAAAUCCCAAAGCUUAACUUUGGAACUGCGUCGGAUACUGGAUGGCUUGAAUUCGGGAGAGGGAUGCAGAAUUCCAGGUGUAGCGGUGAAAUGCGUAGAUAUCUGGAGGAACACCGGUGGCGAAGGCGGCGUUCUGGACUGCAACUGACACUGAUGGACGAAAGCCAGGGGAGCAAACGGG
rnacentral:rRNA from 1 species